rnacentral:rRNA from 1 species
UACAGAGGUCUCAAGCGUUUGUUCGGAUUCAUUGGGGCGUAAAGGGUGUGUAGGUGGCGCCGUUAGUCGGGUGUGAAAUUUCGGAGCUUAACUCCGAAACUGCAUUCGAUACUGCGGUGCUUGAGGACUGGAGAGGAGACUGGAAUUCAUGGUGUAGCAGUGAAAAUGCGUAGAGAUCAUGAGGAAGACCAGUGGCGAAGGCGGGUCUCUGGACAGUUCCUGACACUGAGAACACGGAAGGCCAGGGGAGCAAACGGG